rnacentral:tRNA from 1 species
AGUGGAUAUAGUUUACUAAAAAUUUUAGUCUGUGAAUCUAAAGAUGAGGAUUAACACCUCUAUCCACCG